GACGAACGCUGGCGGCGUGCUUAAUACAUGCAAGUCGAACGGAAAGGCCCUGCUUUUGUGGGGUUCUCGAGUGGCGCACGCGUGAGUAACACGUGAGUAACCUCCCCUUGACUUUGGGAUAACUUCAGGAAACAGGGGCUAAUACCGGAUAGGAGCUCCUGCUGCAUGGUGGGGGUUGGUAAGUUUCGGCGGUUGGGGCAGGCCUCGCGGCUUCUCAGCUUGUUGGUGGGGUAGUGGCUUACCAAGGCUUUGACGGGUAGCCGGCCUGAGAGGGUGACCGGCCACAAGGGGACUGAGAGACGGCGCAGACGCCUACGGGAGGCAGCAGGGGAGAACAUUGCACAACGAGCUGGAGCCAGAUGCAACAACGCCGCGUGCGUGAUGAAGGGCUACGAGGUGUAAACCGCUGUCGCCUGAGACGAAGAGUGAGUGACGGUAAUUGGUAAAGAAGCACCGGCUAACUACGUG
rnacentral:rRNA from 1 species